rnacentral:lncRNA from 1 species
UAAAGUCAUUUAUGAGGAGAAAAGAGAGAAAAAAUAAUGAAUUAAUUAACAAUUGUAAUUUUUUUUACCCACUUGUGAUUAAUAUGAUUUUUUUUUUUUAAGAGAUAGAUAAUACGCUACCCGCUUCGUUUAUUUUAUUUAGAAAUAAACUUAGCUGGAAAUGUGAAUCAACUAGGAUUCGAACUUGGAUCUCGGGUACCAACCACCAAGCCUUUUGCCACUUGCUCUAGGGAUGGUCGGUAUUAGUGUGAAAAUUUUUGAUAAAACAAAUUACAAAGUGGACUAACUACAAGUUCAAAAUUAUUGAAAAACAAAUGUUACCUAAUUUUGAAUUACAAGUUCAAAAUUAUUGAAAAACAAAUUUUACCUAAAUUUUGAAUUACAAGUUCAAAAUUAUUAAAAAACAAAUUUUACCUAAAUUUUAAUUCAAUUCGUUUAUUUUAUUUAGAAAUAAACUUAACUGAAAAUAUGAAUUAACUAGGAUUCGAACUUAGAACCUCAUGUACCAACCAUCAAAUCUUUUGCCACUUAUUUUAGAGACGGUCAGUUACAUCAAUUACAUAGAGAUAUUUUUAACUUGAAAAACAGUUACGGGCAAACAAACACAUACCUAGAUAGGACUGAUUUUCAACAACUGCAAGCAUGCCUUUUCUCCUCUCUAAUCUUUAAGGGUAAGAUAAGAAGAAUUCGCUACACCAUAAAAGAGAGAGCAGCAAUGGGCAUACAUUUUAUCUCCCGGCCAGCAAAAAGGAAGACUGCUGCACGAGACAUCUUUCGCAUAUAAUAUCUGGUCGCUGGCAAUUAUGAUACGUAUCUCACGCUUUAAACAGGAGCCAGCUAAGCACAAUGAUUCGACACAGAACGUCACAAAAUUGAUCGUAGCAUGCUUUUAUCUCCGUUCCAUUCUUUUCUCUCUCCCAAACGAGAAGUUCAACCUGGCCACUGAUUCAAAGUUCGACUAACUUCGCACUAACAAAAUUUCUCUAUCACCUGUUUUGAUGGAUGAAUGAGGCAUUAAUCAGAAGUAUUAAAAUAAGUUAUAGAGCUGCCCAAUAUAUACGCUCUCAACGGAAGUAACAACAAUAAUCUCCUAAA